AAAAUAUUUCUAAGCUAAGGUAUAGUUUUAAAGGCGAUCCUGCAGCAUUCAAAAGCUAUCUUAAAAAAAACAAUGUUGCUCCAGGGCUAUUCCUUAGAUAUGUUGGUAGUAGAUUUCAUGUUUUGUUCCAUAUGGCAGGGAUUGUUGUUACAUACGAAAGACUUAUAAAAACCUUUCUUGAAAACAACACCAAAAAUAAAAUUUGCUAACUCUUACUUCAAGAUAUGAGUAAUGAUAUAACGCUUGUGCAACUGCAAGGGUUGGGCCUGAUAGGAAAAAUAAUAGCUGGGCCAUGGAUGAGUCUGGUUUAUAAAAAUGCAACAGGAAAGAGUAAUCUUGAGUUUGGUGACAUUUUCCAGAAAGCAAUAAGGAAAUUAGCGUACUUCAAAAGUAAUCCAGAAUCAAUUCUUUAUACAGAUGUGGAUAUUUUUAGUCAAGUAUUAAAUAUCA
rnacentral:lncRNA from 1 species